AGAGUUUGAUCCUGGCUCAGGACGAACGCUGGCGGCGUGCUUAACACAUGCAAGUCGAGCGAUGAGAUCACUUUGGUGAAGGAUUAGCGGCGAACGGGUGAGGAACACGUGAAGAAUCUGCCUUCAACUCUGGGAUAACUCCGGGAAACCGGGGCUAAUACCGGAUAUGAGCCUUGAUCGCAUGAUCGGGGCUGGAAAGUUUUUCGGUUGAAGAUGACUUCGCGGCCUAUCAGCUUGUUGGUGAGGUAAUGGCUCACCAAGGCGACGACGGGUAGCCGGCCUGAGAGGGCGACCGGCCACACUGGGACUGAGACACGGCCCAGACUCCUACGGGAGGCAGCAGUGGGGAAUAUUGGGCAAUGGAGGAAACUCUGACCCAGCGACGCCGCGUGAGGGAUGAAGGCCUUCGGGUUGUAAACCUCUUUCAGUAGGGAAGAAGCGAAAGUGACGGUACCUACAGAAGAAGCACCGGCUAACUAUGUGCCAGCAGCCGCGGUAAUACAUAGGGUGCAAGCGUUGUCCGGAAUUAUUGGGCGUAAAGAGCUCGUAGGUGGUUCGAUACGUCGGAUGUGAAAAUCAGGGGCUCAACCCCUGACCUGCAUCCGAUACGGUCGAGCUAGAGUUUGGUAGGGGAGACUGGAAUUCCUGGUGUAGCGGUGGAAUGCGCAGAUAUCAGGAGGAACACCGAUGGCGAAAGCAGGUCUCUGGGCCAAUACUGACACUGAGGAGCGAAAGCGUGGGGAGCGAACAGGAUUAGAUACCCUGGUAGUCCACGCCGUAAACGGUGGGCGCUAGUUGUGCGAACCUUCCACGGUUUGUGCGACGCAGCUAACGCAUUAAGCGCCCCGCCUGGGGAGUACGAUCGCAAGAUUAAAACUCAAAGGAAUUGACGGGGCCCCGCACAAGCAGCGGAGCAUGCGGCUUAAUUCGACGCAACGCGAAGAACCUUACCAAGGCUUGACA
rnacentral:rRNA from 1 species